rnacentral:rRNA from 1 species
UGGGGAAUCUUGGACAAUGGGGGCAACCCUGAUCCAGCCAUGCCGCGUGAGUGAUGAAGGCCUUAGGGUCGUAAAGCUCUUUCGCCUGUGAAGAUAAUGACGGUAGCAGGUAAAGAAACCCCGGCUAACUCCGUGCCAGCAGCCGCGGUAAUACGGAGGGGGUUAGCGUUGUUCGGAAUUACUGGGCGUAAAGCGCACGUAGGCGGACCAGAAAGUUGGGGGUGAAAUCCCGGGGGCUCAACCCCGGAACUGCCUCCAAAACUAUUGGUCUAGAGUUCGAGAGAGGUGAGUGGAAUUCCAAGUGUAGAGGUGAAAUUCGUAGAUAUUUGGAGGAACACCAGUGGCGAAGGCGGCUCACUGGCUCGAUACUGACGCUGAGGUGCGAAAGUGUGGGGAGCAAACAGGAUUAGAUACCCUGGUAGUCCACACCGUAAAACGAUGAAUGCCAGUCGUCGGGUAGCAUGCUACUUCGGUGACACACCUAACGGAUUAAGCAUUCCGCCUGGGGAGUACGGUCGCAAGAUUAAAACUCAAAUGAAUUG